GGCAGCAUGGCCUAGUGGUUUGAGCACUGGACUACAGCUCUGGAGGCCAGGGUUUGAUUCUCUGCUUGGUCA
rnacentral:tRNA from 1 species